CUUCUUUGGGAGGAAGUUUAACG
rnacentral:piRNA from 1 species